rnacentral:rRNA from 1 species
UACGUAGGGGGCCAGCGUUGCUCGGAAUCACUGGGCGUAAAGCGCACGUAGGCGGCUUUUUAAGUCAGAGGUGAAAUCCUGGAGCUCAACUCCAGAACUGCCUUUGAUACUGGAGAGCUUGAGUCCGGGAGAGGUGAGUGGAACUGCGAGUGUAGAGGUGAAAUUCGUAGAUAUUCGCAAGAACACCAGUGGCGAAGGCGGCUCACUGGCCCGGUACUGACGCUGAGGUGCGAAAGCGUGGGGAGCAAACAGG